rnacentral:tRNA from 1 species
AAAUAAGCAUAAUUUAUGCAUCUUAAUUUCGGCUUAAGAAGAGGUUAUAAACCUAUUUA